CCCCAGAUAGAAAAGCUACACUUUUCUUUUGCAGUGAUAAUUUACAACUGGAAAACAUUUUCAUUGAGUAAGAGGUUUGCUUAUUAUUUAAUAAAUUUAGACUUUGAUUUGCCAUGAUGUAUCAACAAAUGCAACAGAAUAUUAUGUUAUCUUAAUUAUCUUGGGUUAGUGGGUAAAAAAUAGAGGCAACCUUCAUGUGUUAAUGAGUAUUUAAUAAAUGAAAAAUGUGAAAACAAUGUUAUCAGAGUAUUUCAAAUAGAAAUGAGUAGAAUUCAGUGAAGGAAAAUUGAGUGAUGAAAGCACACACAGUCGCAUAAGCAAGCUCUACUCGAAAGGACUGACAUUAUCAUAACCCAUAUAUAUACCUAGAAUAGAUAUACUACGCUCCUUCUAUCUCUACACAUACCAACUUGCAAACCAUGAUUACCAGUAAGCAUGGUAGUAAGAAUGCGAAGAAUAUUUUGUUAAAUCUUUUUCAGCAUUAUAAUUUGGAGCACAACUAUUGAAACGAUGGGGUCAUUAAAAUAAAUGUAAGAGUAGUUUAAAAACAGCUUACUGUUAAAAAGAGAAAAUAUCAACAGUGUUAAUGACUUAGAAGAUGGUCCAGGUCCACGCAAAGCAAAAUGUAAGGAAUCAAGUUAACCACAAGUAAAAUAGAAAAUGUCCAAGCACAUUAUUAUACUGUUAAACUCAAUUUUAGCAAUUCAUUAAAAGUGUUUGUGGGGGCCAGCCUGGUGGUCCAGCUGUUAAGUUGCUCCGUUUCAGCAGCCCAGUGUUCACUGGUUCGAAUCCCAGCCAUGGACCUACGCGCUGUUUAUCAAGCCAUGCUGUGGCAGGCAUCUCAUAUAAAAUAGAGGAAGAUGGGCACAGACAUUAGCUCAAGGCCAAUCUUCCUCAGCCAAAAGAAGAGGAUUGGCAAGGGAUGUUAGCUCAGGGCUAAUCUUCCUCAAAAAAAAAGAGUGUUUGUCAUAUCAAAUUAAUUUGAAUGUUAUUAGUGAUGAGGAUUUUAGGCUGGUUACUUUUAAAACUACAGAUGAGGAGCAGGCUCCGAGGACUGGAAUUUUGCUUGCCCUUCUGAGAGACAUUUGCGUUUGUGAAGGAAGGGGGGGUGACCUUGUAGGGACCCGAAAUUGGCCACCCCAGGAUAUGUCUCUUUGGCAUCAGGAUUGUUUUGGGCUGAUUGCUUUCGAUAAACUGGGACAGGGAAGGAGGCUCUGGGGAAUGGAACUUGCCCUUGUUGGGACACAUUUACAUUUGUAAGGUAAAUCUCUAUCUGUAAAAGGGCUACAAUCAUAAGUAGUUUAUUCAAAAUUUUAAGAUAUAUUUUAGCAUUAUUACAAUAAAAGUAAUUCAAGCCAAAAGUAGAGGUUUUCAAGAAGAUUAUUCUUGAAAAAUAGUCUAUAUCUUAUUCAAUUUUGAGAAUUUGAGAAUUUUGAGAAAUUGAAUUGUUAUAUUGCCAUAUUGAAGCAUGUGUCAAACUUAAUGUUUGUAUGCUUAUUCUCCUAACAAACUGUUCAUAACUUCAAGAUUUUGUUAUAAAACCACCAACUCUGUGAAUCUUUUCCUGACCUCCACACCACCACAGUUAACAAAGUAGAGUUAAUCACUUUCUCUAUAGAUGGACUUUACAGCCCUUAUCACAUUCCACUGCCCUUUUAUCACCUUCUGAUCUUCCUUCCUAGAAAGUGAGGUCCUUCAGGACACAGUCUGUAAUUUAUGCAUCAGUGAAACUAUGGUUCCUGCCUUGGUCUUUGGCACAUAGAAAGCAUUCAAUAAAUAUCUAGUCAACAAAUGGACUAAUUAAUUAUUUAAUUAAUUAGUGGAAAGGCAGAGGCAAUUACUCUCAUCAGUCCUAAUGAUGCAGGGUCGGUGAGCCGAGGAGUCGAAAGAAAGAUUUCUUAGACUCUCAAGAUCUGGCAGUAGUGCUCUUUUAUUUAGAAAAUAGUGUGGAAUAGCAUGGGGACAGGACCCAUGGGCAGUCAGAGCUUCUGCUGCCGCCGCUUCUGGUGCGUGGGGACAGGACCCACGGGCAGUCAGAGCUCCUGCUGCUGCCCCGAGUUGAGGGUUAGGGCUAAUUUUAUAAGGCAUAGGUAUAUGACUCAUCUCUUUACAAGACAAAGGAAAGAACAUGAAAAAAAGUUAAAAUGGUAUCAGUGCGGGUGGGCAGCAGCAGGAGCUCUGACUGCCCGUGGGUCCUGUCCCCAUGCACCAGCUCUGCCUGCCCAGGGGCUCCGUCCCCAUGCCAGCGGGGGCAGCAGCAGCGGCUCUGCCUGCCCAUGGGCUCCGUCCCCAUGCCAGCGGGGGCAGCAGCAGCGGCUCUGCCUGCCCAUGGGCUCUGUCCCCAUGCCAGCGGGGGCAGCAGAAGCGGCAGCAGCAGAAGCUCUGACUGCCCAUGGGUCCUGUCCCCAUGCUACACUAUUCUCUAAAUAAAAGAGCACUACUGCCAGAUCUUGAG
ensembl:lncRNA